UGAUUUCUAAUCGUGUGAGAUGCAUAUCCAAUGCAGGAUAUCUAUUGUACAAAUAAGUAGUAAAGCCCUAUAAGCAUAUUUUCUACCCGUAACCCUUAAACUAGCAUGCAUAAACCUCCCUGAUUUCACUAUAAACCUCAAUCGUUCAUUACAAGUUAUUACAGACCAAGGUAAUUAAAUUACAGUAAUGAAAAUGUGAAAAAUAAGAAGUUAUUCUAUAGGGAGCUUUCAACCAGGCCCAAGUCUCCAAUCUCACUUCUUUCGAGUUUCACAUCCUUUUACCAAGGUUUGGGGGUGUGGAAAAGCUCCCUAAGGGCCCGUUGAGGCCAUUGGCAAAUACCAGGCACCCAAACAAGUUACAUUGAACAAAUACAAGUGUGGAAUUACCAGACUUGUGCAUCAAAGUUCAGUGGGUACUCAAGGUACCCAAAGCAACGCUUACACGAAGGGGGUAGAACCUAAACUCUAGGAGUAGUGAGACUGUGAUAGAGUUUUGAAGAGAUUGAGUUGAAGAACAGUUGAAAGAAGGUCCAUGGAGAACCAGUCUUGAAUGAAAAACAAUAGAAUGGGUGAUAGGGUUAUUUAAAAUCAAUUGAAUUUAAAAAGAGAAAACAGUUAAAGAUGAUCCAUAUAGAAUCAAUUUUAAAAGAAAACAACAGAAGAGACAAUAUCAAGUUAGAGGAUCCCAUAAGGUUCAGGGAAUACAAACACAAACAUGGGAAAGGGGAAUGGGGACAAGUAACUCCUAAGUGAGAACACAAUUACAUAUACACAAACAUCAAAAAGAAGGUUUUCAGAACUUAAACAAUCAAGCAGGUUUCAACCAAAGAGAUCGGGACUACAUGCUGAUAAUUGUACUGAGGUUAAGGGAUAAGGAGAAACAUGCAUGAGAAAAAUAAGGAGAGUAAUGGGCAUGCUAGAUUAAGAUAGGUAUAUCAAUUAACAUAGAGGCAUGCUAAUUGCAAUAAGAACAACAGAACCCUAAGUAAAAGCAUGGAAAAAACAGAAUGAAAUGCAGCAGGUAUAAAAGUAUGUUGUUUUGAGAGCUGUAAAUCAAAUGGAGGGCAUACAAGUUGAGGAUGCAGUAAUAUAGAGUAAUAGUGACAAGAAUAUGCAGAGGAGUGAGCGAUAGUUUGUAGAGGAGUGAGAAGCAAUAGUAGUGAAGUGAGCAGCAAUAGCAGAGAAGUGAGCAGCAAUGGCAGAAAAGUGAGCAGCAAAUAAGCAGACCCGAGCAAGUAGCAAUGUAGAGAGCAAUAGAACAAUAAAGUAGCCUAAAGCUCAGCCUGGGUUUCAAACUAGUUGAGUAACCAGUAGUCAUAAGGGAAGUGAGAGAGGUUAUGUAGAAGCAAGAGAGAACACUGAGUAGGUUUUUGUGUAAAAGGGAGAGUUCAGAAUAAUGAAUUAUGCUCGUGUGUUAUGCUAAAGAGAGGGUAGAGUAUUUAUAGUUUUGAAAACCAAUAGAGAAUCGGGUAAUAAGUACAUAAUUAUGGAAACAAUACCAAUUGAAAUCAAUCAUGGGACCUAAUUCAUUUAAUCAGGGAUUCAUGAUUUGAAUGGGAGUACAGGUUAUAUCAGAUAAAGGAAAGAAUCAAUUAGACGACUGAUUACACCAUAGUAAAAGUAGUGAGGCAUGUAGUAUGUAAUAAGGGCCAGAUACAUAAUGCUUCAAGUAAGAAAAGCAUACACUAAAUAUUUGAAAAUAUAUUUAAGAGCACAAAUAUGGUAAAAAUAUAAAUUAACUCUGAAAAUUAGUCAAAGAAUCAUGGACGAGACAAAAAUCAGAGGGAAUCAGUGCUAAGUAUAGAGAGCAUUUCACAAGUAAGUAAAUAAUUCCAAAAUCAGUGUAAGAACUUCUAAAGAAAACACAUACAAAUCAGGGAUUUGAAGAGAUGCAUAAAAAUCAGUAGAAUAACAGUUAGACCUAUAAAACACAAUAGGCGUAAGAAUCAGAAAACCCUAAGUAGGAAAAUCACAGGUUCAAUAGAAGACUGGAACCCUAGUAAAACUUAAAGCAUGGAACUCGGAUUAACCAGAAAACAAACAAGCUCAUAACACAAAUAUAAACACAUAAUAUAGGCACAAUCACAUAAUACUCAAAAGAAGCAGAUGAUAUAGUGAUUUUGAAAAAGGGCUCAGGAACCCUAGUUUUGAAAAGAAGAAUAGAAUGUUGAAAAACUUGAAUUAAUUAAAGAAAUCGAGUAGUGAGUAGUGUAAAACGGCACAAUCACAUAAUACUCAAAAAGAAGCAGAACAUAUAGUGAUUUUGAAAGGGGGCUCUGGAACUCUACUUUUGAAAAGAAGAAUAGAAUGUUGAAAAAUUUGAAUUAAUCGAAGAAAUCGAGUAGUGAGUAAUGUAAAACACAAUGAAUAAGCUGAAAAUAAUUUUAAAAAAGACAGAGAUUAAGAGAUUUAGGCAAAAAAUUAGGGUUUUGUAAUAAAUCAGUGAGGUAAGGAACUUGGCUGUGAAACUCAUAGUACCAUCGGACUGAAAACCAUCGGAGGGGAGGCUGGAGAUAAGCCAAGCAAGGCUUCCAGUGACCAUCUUGCAUGGUGGAAAUCUCUGGAGCCUCAAAACUUAGAGAAGAUCAACGAGACAAGGCUCCGUGGUGACUGGUGGUUGAGAUAAGUGAGGAUAGAGAUGGCUGGAGAAGCGAUGAAGAUGAUUGGAGAAGAACCAUAAGGUUCUAGAGAGAAGGAGGAGACGAAGAGACCAAGAGAGAGACCGG
rnacentral:lncRNA from 1 species